CGAACGAUGAAGCUCUAGCUUGCUAGAGUGGAUUAGUGGCGCACGGGUGAGUAAUGCAUAGAUAACAUGCCCUUUAGUCUAGGAUAGCCAUUGGAAACGAUGAUUAAUACUGGAUACUCCUUACGAGGGAAAGUUUUUCGCUAAAGGAUUGGUCUAUGUCCUAUCAGCUUGUUGGUGAGGUAAUGGCUCACCAAGGCUAUGACGGGUAUCCGGCCUGAGAGGGUGAACGGACACACUGGAACUGAGACACGGUCCAGACUCCUACGGGAGGCAGCAGUAGGGAAUAUUGCUCAAUGGGGGAAACCCUGAAGCAGCAACGCCGCGUGGAGGAUGAAGGUUUUCGGAUUGUAAACUCCUUUUGUUAGAGAAGAUAAUGACGGUAUCUAACGAAUAAGCACCGGCUAACUCCGUGCCAGCAGCCGCGGUAAUACGGAGGGUGCAAGCGUUACUCGGAAUCACUGGGCGUAAAGAGCGCGUAGGCGGGAUAGCAAGUCAGAUGUGAAAUCCUAUGGCAUAACCAUAGAACUGCAUUUGAAACUGUUAUUCUAGAGUAUGGGAGAGGUAGGUGGAAUUCUUGGUGUAGGGGUAAAAUCCGUAGAGAUCAAGAGGAAUACUCAUUGCGAAGGCGACCUGCUAGAACAUAACUGACGCUGAUGCGCGAAAGCGUGGGGAGCAAACAGGAUUAGAUACCCUGGUAGUCCACGCCCUAAACGAUGAAUGCUAGUUGUUGUGGAGCUUGUCUCUGCAGUAAUGCAGCUAACGCAUUAAGCAUUCCGCCUGGGGAGUACGGUCGCAAGAUUAAAACUCAAAGGAAUAGACGGGGACCCGCACAAGCGGUGGAGCAUGUGGUUUAAUUCGAAGAUACACGAAGAACCUUACCUAGGCUUGACAUUGAUAGAAUCCGCUAGAGAUAGUGGAGUGCUAGCUUGCUAGAACUUGAAAACAGGUGCUGCACGGCUGUCGUCAGCUCGUGUCGUGAGAUGUUGGGUUAAGUCCCGCAACGAGCGCAACCCUCGUCCUUAGUUGCUAACUAUUCGGUAGAGCACUCUAAGGAGACUGCCUUCGCAAGGAGGAGGAAGGUGAGGAUGACGUCAAGUCAUCAUGGCCCUUACGCCUAGGGCUACACACGUGCUACAAUGGGAAGCACAAAGAGAUGCAAUAUUGUGAAAUGGAGCAAAUCUAUAAAACUUCUCUCAGUUCGGAUUGUAGUCUGCAACUCGACUACAUGAAGCUGGAAUCGCUAGUAAU
rnacentral:rRNA from 1 species